rnacentral:rRNA from 1 species
CCCUCCGUAAGGGGUACCUGCGGAAGGAUCAUUAUAGAGUUCUGAACAGGUUGUUGCUGACCUCUAAUGGGGUAUGUGCACGCCUGGCUCAUCCACUCAAUUUUUAUACCUCUGUGCACUAUUUGUAGGGAAAAUGUGAUGAAAAGCUUCAUUGCUUGCAUCCACUUUCCUUAUGUUUUAAUCAUAAACACUUGAAAAGUUAAAGAAUGGAUUUAUUAUUGCAGAUAAUGCAUUAUAAUACAACUUUCAGCAACGGAUCUCUUGGCUCUCGCAUCGAUGAAGAACGCAGCGAAAUGCGAUAAGUAAUGUGAAUUGCAGAAUUCAGUGAAUCAUCGAAUCUUUGAACGCACCUUGCGCUCCUUGGUAUUCCUCGGAGCAUGCCUGUUUGAGUAUCAUGGAAUUCUCAACUCAUUAGAAUUUUUUUUGGUGACCCAAAAGAAAUUUCUAUUGAGCUUGGAUUUGGAGGCUUGUGCUGGCGCUAUAUAUAGUAUAUCUAUACAUGCUGGCUCCUCUAAAAUGAAUUAGCAUAAGUCCUAUACAUUGCUUUCAGCAGGAUAAUUGUCUAUGUUGUGGCUUUGAAGAAUUUAUGCUUAUAGUUGUCUUAUUCAAUGAGACAAUUUAAUUUUCUAAUCUUGAUCUCAAAUCAGGUAGACAGCCCAGUC